rnacentral:lncRNA from 10 species
ACUGGGGCGCUACGGUUCCUGGAGCUGGGCAGUCUUCUCGUCAGAGUGGGGACUGGUAAGAGCGACCUCCCCGCCAGGUCCUGUGUGUUGCCGGCUGAAGAAGGGUAGGUGAAAAAUUCAGACCCAGCACAGUGUUUAUGUUGGUCAAAAAUAGAAAACUAUGUCUGGCGCGUUCGAGGCGGGAGGACCCUUCAGGCCAAGAGCAGCCUAGCAACAUGGCGCAACCCCAUCUCUGUAGUCCUACCUCAGCCCCCCAGCUACUUGAACCCAAAGGUUCAAGGCUCCAGUGAGCUAUGAUCCCACCACAGCAUUCCAGCCUGCGAGAUUGAGGCCCUCACAAUCCAGUGGAGGAGACGAAACUCAUCUGCCUCUGUCCCUCUGGGCACACCUCAUGCCAGGUGCAUCUGUGGACAGGGGCCAUGCUCCUGGGCUUCCAAAGUUGGAGAAAGCUGCCAGGCUCAGACCCACCUAAGCUGAAGAUUCCCUUGAGAACAAGUACUGUCCUGUGGUUUCAUGGCCUUUCUUCCAUUUGUGGUUCUUGCGAAGUGGAAUUUAAAUGACAUCUUAUCAAGAUGGAUAAACCCUAGUUUCCCAGUGCUGGAAUAUAGAAAAUGGAUGGACAAGUAAAUCCCACUCAGUACCCAUAGGCCAGGCAUGGGGACCUCAACACACCUGAGCCCCAGACAUCACCUUUCAUUCUGGACCUACCAUGAAAGACUUCUGAAUCCAGGAAGAGAAACUGACUGGGCAACAUGUUAUUCAGGUACAAAAAGACUUGGACUGUAACUCAAAAAUGAUCAAAUAAUAGUGCAUGCAUCAAGUGCAAUGGGAAGCUCUUCUGGAGAGGGAGAGAAGCUUCCAGUUAAGGUGACAUUGAAGCCAAGUCCUGUAAGAUAAGGAAGAGUUGUAUGAGAGUGGGGAGGGAAGGGGGAGGUGGAGGGAUGGGGAUUGGGCUGGGAUGGGAUGGAGUGAGCUGCCCAGGCAGGGAAACCAGCACUAUACAGACCUGAACAAUGAAGAUGGCACAUUUUGUUCAGGGAAUGGUGAAUUAAGUGUGGCAGAAAUGCUUUGUAGAGACAGUAAUUUGCUUGUAUGGAAUUUUGCCCAAGAGACCUCAUUACAGUUUCUAAUUUUUUGAUGUUAUCAUGCAUCACUGCCCUUGUCAGAUAGUAUCAUGAUCACAAUAACAUCAAGCAUAAUAUUUCAUUGAUUCUCACAAAAACAGGUGGGUGCCACAGUUAUCCCCAUUAUAUGCACAAAAUGAUGAAGACUUGGGGUUAAUGAGCGAUUUGCCCAAGCUCACCUGAAUAUUAAGACUGAGUCAAAUGUUAGUCUGGUCUGACUUCAAUGCUUGCCUUGUUCAUGAGCACCAUGCAUUGCCUCUCCUAUGCAGUUAAGCAGGUAGACAGGUGAGAGAAGAGCCCGUGUGAUAUCGGGGGAAAUUCACCCCGAUAUUUCAUGUAGGUUCUUUUCUGUUUUCCCUGACUGUUGGCCGGUCUGAGAAAUAAAGGAAAAGAGUACAAAAGAGAGAAAUUUUAAAGCUGGGUGUCCAGGGGAGACAUCACAUGUCGGCAGGUUCCGUGAUGCCCCCCAAGCCGCAAAACCAACAAGUUUUUAUUAGUGAUUUUCAAAAGGGGAGGGAGUGUACGAAUAGGGUGUGGGUCACAGAGAUCACGUGCUUCACAAGGUAAUAAAAUAUCACAAGGCAAAUGGAGGCAGGGCAAGAUCACAGGACCACAGGACCGGGGCGAAAUUAAAAUUGCUAAUGAAGUUUCGGGCACGCAUUGUCAUUGAUAACAUCUUAUCAGGAGAAAGGGUUUGAGAGCAGACAACCCACCUGACCAAAAUUUAUUAGGCGGGAAUUUCCUUGUCCUGAUAAGCCUGGGAGCGCCACGCGAGCCCAGGGCUUAUUUCAUCCCUUAUCUACGACUGUAAAAGACAGCCGUCCCCAAAGCGGCCAUUUCAGAGGCCUCCCCUUAGGGAUGCAUUCUCUUUCUCAGGGAUGUUCUUUGCUGAGAAAAAGAAUUCAGCAAUAUUUCUCCUAUUUGCUUUUGAAAGAAGAGAAAUAUGGCUCUGUUCCACCCGGCCCACAGGCAGCCAGAGUUUAAGGUUAUCUCCCUUGUUCCCUGAAAUUGCUGUCAUCCUGUUUUUUUUUCAAGGUGCCCAGGUUUCAUACUGUUUAAACAACUUGUGCAGUUAACGCAAUUAUCACAGGGUCCUGCAGGGACAUUCAUCCUCAGCUUACGAAGAUGACCGGAUUAAGAGAUUAAAGUAAAGACAGGCAUAGGAAAUCACAAGGGUAUUGAUUAGGGAAGUGAUAAGUGUCCAUGAAAUCUUCACAAUUUAUGUUCAGAGAUUACAGUAAAGAUAGGCCCAAGAAAUUAUAGAAGUAUUAAUUUGGGGAACUAAUAAAUGUCCAUGAAAUCUUCACAAUUUAUGUUCUUCUGCCGUGGCUUCAGCCGGUCCCUCCGUUUGGGGUCCCUGACUUCCCGCAACACGUUUCUCUCUACUCACAGACUUCUGACCAAAUGUGUGUGCAGAGUUUCUACACCAGUUCUCCAACUCUCUGGAUACCAACCGCGUAUCCCACAAUUCCAUUCUGACACUACCUAGAGUUAGCGCAGAACCCACAGGUUAGGGGCUCAGUCCCACAAGACCACUCUCACUUCAGAUGCCAGUUGCAAGUCCUAGGUUGUCACCUGUAUUUUGACCAACCAGUUAGAAAUCAGGGUUUCCCAUGACCCUCUUCUUGAGUUUAAUUAUUUACUAGAACAACUCACAGAACUUAGAAAAACAGGUUUUUUUCUUUCCUUUUUAAGAGACAGGGCCUCGCUCUGUUGUCCAGGCUGGUGUGCAGUGGUGCAAUCAUUGCUCAUUGAAGCCUCAACCUCCAGGGCUCAAGUGAUUCUCCUGCUGCAGCCUCUCAAGUAGCUGGAAUUACAGGGUUCCCACCACCACAUUUGGCUAAUUUAUUUUAUUUUUUGUAUAGAUGGGGUCCUCUUAUGUUGCCCAGGCUGGUCUCAAAUUCCUAGGCUCAAGUGAUUCCGCCCACCUCUGCCUCCCAAAGUGCUGGGAUUACGGGCAUGAGCCAGCGCAUCUGGCCACCUUAUUUUCUAUUACUGGCUCAAUGUAAUGGCUCCAUCUCAGGAACAGCCAAUGAAAGAGAUGCACAGGACAAGGUAAGUGGGGAGGGGCACAGAGCUUCCAUGCCCUCUGUUGGGCACACUACCCUCCCAGGACCUCCUUGUGUUUAGCAACACAGAAGCUCUCCAAACCCUGCUGUUUGGGUUUUUAUGGAGGCAUGAUUGAUAAAAUCAUUGGCCAUUGGUAGUUAAGUCAAUCUCCAGUUCCUUUUGCCUCCUGGAGUUCAGCAGGUGAGGCUGAAAGUUCCAAGCCUCAAAAAAUGUGGUUGGGGCCAGGUGCAGUGGCUCACUCCUGUAAUCCUAGCAGUUUGGAAGGCUGAGGCACAUGGACCACUUGAGGUCAGGAGUUUGAGACCAGCCUGACCAACAUGGUGAAACCCCAUUUCUACUAAAAAUAACAACAAUUAGUUAGGCGUUGUGAGACAUCCCUAUAAUUCCAGCUACUCGGGAGGCCGAGGCAGGAGAAUUGCUUGAACCCGGGAGGUGGAGGUUGUAGUGAGCUGAGAUUGUGCCAUUGCACUCCAGCCUGGGCUACAAGAGCCAAACUCCGUUUAAAAAAAAAAAUGUGGUUGCUUUCUCUGGCAGCUAGCCCUCCUCCUGAAGCAGUCUAGGAGCUUGCAGCCACCCUGUUAGCUCAACAGCAUCCCACAUGCAUUCUUACCAUGCUGCAGAUCUGAAAGACCUUAGAGGCCCUUGUGUCAGGAACCUGGGACUAAGACUAAAUAUCAAAACAGAAAAUGCUCCUAUUACCUCUGUCACGAAGGGCUUUAUAAGAGCUUUGGAAGCUCUAUGCCAGGAACCAGGGGCAGAGACCAAAUGUAUAUUUCUUUUCUUAUAUUGGAGACAGAGUCUCACUCUGCCACUGAGGCUGGAGUGCAGUGAUGUGAUCAUAGCUCACUGCAGCCUUGACCUCCUAGGCUAAAGCAAUCCUCCCACCUUAGCCUCCCCAGUAGCUGGAACUACAGGCGUGCAUCACCAUGUCCAGCUGAUUUUAAUUUUAAUUUUGUAAAGGCAGGGUCUUCCUAUUUUCCCCAGGCUGAUCUCUAACUCUUGGCCUCAAGCAAUCCUUCCUCUUUGGCCUCCCAACUUGUUGGGAUUACAGAUGGGAGCCCCCAUACCCACCAAUCACAAGGAUCUUUAUAAGAGAAGGAGGUAGGAGAGUCAGAAUUAGAGAAAGUGAUGUGGUAAUGGAAGAAGAGGUCAGAGAGGGAGAUUUGAAGAUGCUGCACUUCUGGCCUUGAAUAUCGAGUCACGAGGUAAGUCAAGGAAUAGGGGUGGCUUCUAGAAGCUGGGAAAGGCAAAGGAGCACAUUCUGUCUAGAGCCUCCCCCAGAAGGAAUGCAGCUCCUCUGACACCUUGACUUUAGCCUUAAUAGACCUAGUUGGGCUUCUGGCCCCCAGAACUGUAAGAUGGUAGAUUUGUGGUGUUUGAUGCCACUAAAUGUAGGGUACUUUGUUGUAGCAACAACAAAAAAUGAACAUGAAGCUGGGACCUCAUGUUACAGUUGCUCACGCCUGUAAUCCCAGAAUUUUAGGAGGCUGAGGUGGGAGGAUCGCUUAAGCCCAGGAGCUUAAGACCAGCCUGGGCAACAUAAUAAGACCUCAUGUCUAAAAAAAAUUUUUUUAAAAGGCCAGACGCAGUGGCUCACGCCUGUAAUCCCAGCACUUUGGGAGGCCGAGGAGGGUGGAUCAUGAGGUCAGAAGUUCAAGACCAGCCUAGCCAAGAUGGUGAAACCCCAUCUCUACUAAAAAUACAAACAUUAGCCAGGUGUGGUGGUGGGUGCCUGUAAUCCCAGCUACUCAGGAGGCAGAGAAUCACUUGAACCCAAAAGGCAGACAUUGCAGUGAGCCAAGAUCGCACCCUUACACUUUAGCCUGGGCGACCGAGACUCCGUCUCAAAAAAAAAAAAAAAAAAAAAAAAAAGCCAUGUGUUGUGGCAUGCAGCUGUAGUCUCAGUUCCUAGGGUGGCUGAGGCGGGAGGAUUGUUUAAGCCUGGGAGGUUGAAGUUGCUGUGAGCUGUGAUUGCACCAGUGUACUCCAGCCUGGGCAAUAAAGCAAGACCUUGUUUCAAAAAGAAAGAAAUGAGCAUGGUGGGAAUGGGGACAGAUGGCAGUGUUAAGUAGAGUGGUCAGGGUUGGCCUCAUAAGUGAAUAUUGAGCAAAAGUUUGAAGCAGGUGAUGGAGCUGGCCAAGGUGCUGAGGGAAGAGCAUUGUAGGCUGAGUCAACAGGAUAAAGGCAUUAGGAGGAAACUCUCUGGUGUGUCUGAGGCUCUGAAAGGAGGCCAGUGGAGCAAAGAGAUAGAGGGAGCGAAGUCAGCAAGGAGGCCAGGGAGUUGCUGGGCUGGGAUCGGUACAGAUCGUGUAAGCCCUGGGACGCUAUUGCUGGGGCUUUGGCUUUUACUCUGACUAAAAUGGGAACCACCGAGGGCUUCUGAGCAGAGAGGCGAUGUGAUCUGUCUCCUGAUUUAAAAGCACGACCUGGCUGCCAAGUUGAGAAAGACUAUGGGAAGAUUUGGGUGGAAGCAUGGGGGCCAAGCUGUGGCAACAUCCCGCUGGGAGAUGAUAGUGAUCCUGACCGGGUUCACGGUGGUGGUGAGAGAUGGUCAGAGCCUGGAUACAUGUUGAAGUCAGUCAGUAGGAUUUCCUGACAGACUGGAUGUGAGCUGUGAGAGAAGGCAGUGGUCAAGGUUGAGUUUGAUUCUGAUUGAAUUAUUAAGUAAUUUUAAAAAACACUACUGCCUUUCCCAAUCCUACCAAGUAAAGGAUGCUAGAUAAAAGAAAUCUCAAGUUAGGCCAGGUGCAGUGGCUCACACCUAUAGUUCCAACAGUUUGAGAGGCAGAGAUGGGAGUAUGUUUUAAGGCCAUGAGUUUGAGAGCAGCCUGGGCAAAACAGCAAGACCUCCUCUCUACAAAAAUAAAAAAAAUAAAUUUAAUAAAAUAAAUAUAGCCAGGCAUGACGGUAUGUACCUAUGGCCCCAGUUACUCAUGUGGCUGAGAUGGGCAGAUCUCUUGAUUCUAGGAGUUUGAGGCCAGCUUGGGCAACAUAGCAAGACUUCUCUCUCUACAAAAAUGAAAAAAAUGCCUGACAUGGUGGUACUUGCCUGUAUUCCCAGGUAUGGGGGCAGCUGAGUCAGGAGCAUCUGUUGAACCCAGUUGGUCAAGGUUGCAGUGAGCUAUGAUUAUACCACUGCACUCCAUCCUGGGUGACAGAGUGGGACCCUGUCUCAAAAUACAAAUACAAAUGAAAUCUCAAGUCAGACCAGUCCCUUCUAGGCUAUGUAGGCCUUGUAACCACAUAGCUGCAUGAUCGGGUUUGUGUGGCUGUGGAUGAGGAGACCCCUGUCCAAUUGUUGGCUAUGUAAUCAGUUUAUUUUUCGAUAUAGUAGUCAAAUAUAUUUCAUCAUACUUGAUGGUCUCAGAUAUGUAUGGAUUUUGGAAUUCCCCUUGGAACAGGUUGUAACAUCU